AGCAGUAGCCGCGGUAAUACGUAGGUGGCGAGCGUUGUCCGGAAUUAUUGGGCGUAAAGGGAGCGCAGGCGGACAUAUAAGUCCAUCUUAAAAGUGCGGGGCUCAACCCCGUGAGGGGAUGGAAACUGUAUGCCUUGAGUGUAGGAGAGGAAAGCGGAAUUCCCAGUGUAGCGGUGAAAUGCGUAGAUAUUGGGAGGAACACCAGUGGCGAAGGCGGCUUUCUGGACUGCAACUGACGCUGAGGCUCGAAAGCCAGGGGAGCGAACGGGAUUAGAUACCCCCGUAGUCCCUGUCUCUUAUACA
rnacentral:rRNA from 1 species